GUGCCAGCAGCCGCGGUAAGACAGAGGGUGCGAACGUUGCUCGGAAUCAUUGGGCGUAAAGCGCGUGUAGGCGGCAUCGCACGUCGGGUGUGAAAGCCCGGGGCUCAACCCCGGCAGUGCACCCGAAACGACGAUGCUAGAGUGCUGGAGAGGCGGGUGGAAUUCCCGGUGUAGAGGUGAAAUUCGUAGAUAUCGGGAGGAACACCGGUGGCGAAGGCGGCCCGCUGGCCAGCGACUGACGCUGAGACGCGAAAGCGUGGGGAGCAAACAGGAUUAGAUACCCUCGUAGUCC
rnacentral:rRNA from 1 species